rnacentral:lncRNA from 1 species
CUGUGGUUGUUGUGGGAGAAACGAUGGUUGUUGUUACUUCAUUUGUCGAUGAAAUUGGAGCAUCUGUGGUUGUUGUGGCAGCAGCUGUGGUUGUUGUAGGAUCAGCUGUGGUUGUGCUAGCGGCUGCUGUGAUCGUGGUGGUUGCUGCUGCUGUUGUAGUCGAAGCAGCUGUGGUUGUUGUGACCGGAAUUGUGGUAGUCAUCAUGCCAUCUGUAGUGGUCGUGGGGGCAGCUGUGGUUGUUGAAUGAUUAACGGUGGUAGUUGUGAUGCCUGCUGUGGUGACCGUUGCGGCACCUGUGUUUGUGGUGGCAGCACCUGUGGUUGUUAUGGGAGAAACUGUUAUUGUUGUGACUCCAUUUGUGGUAGUUGUUGGAGCAUCUGUGGUUGUUGUGCGAGAAACUGUGGCUGUUGUGACUCCAUUUGUGGUUGGAACAUCUGUGGUUGUCAUGGCAGCAGCUGUGGUUGUGGUGGCAGCACCUGUGGUUGUUGUGGGAGAAACUAUGGUUGUUGUGACUCCAUUUGUUGUUGUAGUUGGAGCAUCUGUGGUUGUUGUGGCAGCAGCUGUGGUUGUUGUGGGAGAAACUGUGGAUGUUGUGACUCUAUUUGUCGUUGUAAUUGGAGUAUCUGUGGUUGUCAUGGCAGCAGCUGUGGUUGUGGUGGCUGCUGCAGCAGUUGCAGGUGUUGUUGUCAUGGGAGGAGCUGUGGUGGUCAUUAUGGACGUAGCUGAGGUUGUAGUUGGAGCAGCUGUGGUUGUUGAAUGAGCAACUGUGCUAGUUGUGAUGCCUGCUGUGGUGACCGUGGCGGCACCUGUUGUUGUGGUGGCAGCACCUGUGGUUGUUGUGGGAGAAACUAUGGUUGUUGUGACUCCAUUUGUUGUUGUAGUUGGAGCAGCUGUGGUUGUUGUGGGAGAAACUGUGGAUGUUGUGACUCUAUUUGUCGUAAUUGGAGUAUCUGUGGUUGUCAGGGCAGCAGCUGUGGUUGUAGUAGGAUCAGCAGUGGUUGUGCUAGCGGCUGCUGUGAUUGUGGUGGUUGCUGCUGUUGUUGUAGUCGAAGCAUCUGUGGUUGUUGUGGCAUCAGCUCCGGUUGUUGUGGGAGAAACUGUGGAUGUGCUCACUAUAUUUGUGGUUGUAAUUGGAGCAUCUGUGGUUGUCAUGACAGCAGCUGUGGUUGUAGAUGGAACACUAGAGGUUGUGCUGGCGGCUGCUGUGAUUGUGGUGGUUGCUGCUGUUGUUGUAGUCGAAGCAGCUGUGGUUGUUGUGACCGGAAUUGUGGUAGUCAUCAUGCCAUCUGUAGUGGUCGUGGGGGCAACCGUGGUUGUGGUUGCAGCGGUAGCUGUGGUUGUAGUUGGAGCACGUGUGGUUGUUGUUGCAGCGACUGUGGUUGUGGUGGCUGCUGCAGCAGUUGCAGGUGUUGUUGUCAUGGCAGGAGCUGUGGUGGUCAUCAUGGACAUUGUUGAGGUUGUAGAUGGAGCAGCUGUGGUUGUUGAAUGAGCAACUGGGGUAGUUGUGAUGCCUGCUGUGGUGACCGUGGCGGCACCUGUGGUUGUGGUGGCAGCACCUGUGGUUGUUGUGGGAGAAACGAUGGUUGUUGUUACUCCAUUUGUCAAUGAAAUUGGAGCAUCUGUGGUUGUUGUGGCAGCAGCUGUGGUUGUUGUAGGAUCAGCAGUGGUUGUGCUAGCGGCUGCUGUGAUCAUGGUGGUUGCUGCUGCUGUUGUUGUAGUCGAAGCAGCUGUGGUUGUUGUGACCGGAAUUGUGGUAGUCAUCAUGCCAUCUGUAGUGGUCGUGGGGGCAGCUGUGGUUGUGGUUGCAGCAGUAGCUGUGGUUGUAGUUGGAGCACCUGUGGUUGUUCUUGCAGCAACUGUGGUUGUGGUGGCUGCUGCAGCAGUUGCAGGUGUCGUUGUCAUGGCAGGAGCUGUGGUGGUCAUCAUGGACAUUGUUGAGGUUGUAGUUGGAGCAGCUGUGGUUUGUGAAUGAGCAACUGUGUUAGUUGUGAUGCCUGCUGUGGUGACUGUGGCGGCAGGUGUCGUUGUGGUGGAAGCACCUGUGGUUGUUGUGGGAGACACUAUUGUUGUUAUGACUCCAUUUGUUGUUGUAGUUGGAGCAUGUGUGGUUGUUGUGGCAUCAGCUCCGGUUGUUGUGGGAGAAACUGUGGAUGUGCUGGCUAUAUUUGUGGUUGUAAUUGGAGCAUCUGUGGUUGUCAUGAGGGCAGCUGUGGUUGUAGAUGGAGCAGCAACGGUUGUGGUGGCGGCUGCUGUGAUUGUGGUGGUUGCUGCUGUUGUUGUAGUCGAAGCAGCUGUGGUUGUUGUGACCGGAAUUGUGGUAGUCAUCAUGCCAUCUGUAGUGGUCGUUUGGGCAGCUGUGGUUGUGGUUGCAGCAGUAGCUGUGGUUGUAGUUGGAGCACCUGUGGUUGUUGUUGCAGCGACUGUGGUUGUGGUGGCUGCUGCAGCAGUUGCAGGUGUUGUUGUCAUGGGAGGAGCUGUGGUGGUCAUUAUGGACGUAGCUGAGGUUGUAGUUGGAGCAGCUGUGGUUGUUGAAUGAGCAAUUUCGCUAGUUGUGAUGCCUGCUGUGGUGACCGUGGCGGCACCUGUCGUUGUGGUGGCAGCACCUGUGGUUGUUGUGGGAGAAACUAUGGUUGUUGUGACUCCAUUUGUUGUUGUAGUUGGAGCAGCUGUGGUUGUUGUGGGAGAAACUGUGGAUGUUGUGACUCUAUUUGUCGUUGUAAUUGGAGUAUCUGUGGUUGUCAUGGCAGCAGCUGUGGUUGUAGUAGGAUCAGCAGUGGUUGUGCUGGCGGCUGCUGUGAUUGUGGUGGUUGCUGCUGUUGUUGUAGUCGAAGCAGCUGUGGUUGUUGAAUGAGCAACUGGGGUAGUUGUGAUGCCUGCUGUGGUGACUGUGGCGGCACCUGUGGUUGUGGUGGCAGCACCUGUGGUUGUGGUGGCAGCACCUGUGGUUGUUGUGGGAGAAACGAUGGUUAUUGUUACUCCAUUUGUCGAUGAAAUUGGAGCAUCUGUGGUUGUUGUGGCAGCAGCUGUGGUUGUUGUAGGAUCAGCAGUGGUUGUGCUAGCGGCUGCUGUGAUCGUGGUGGUUGCUGCUGCUGUUGUAGUCGAAGCAGCUGUGGUUGUUGUGACCGGAAUUGUGGUAGUCAUCAUGCCAUCUGUAGUGGUCGUGGGGGCAGCUGGGGUUGUGGUUGCAGCAGUAGCUGUGGUUGUAGUUGGAGCACCUGUGGUUGUUCUUGCAGCGACUGUGGUUGUGGUGGCUGCUGCAGCAGUUGCAG